AGCAGCCGCGGUAAUUCCAGCUCCAAUAGCGUAUAUUAAAGUUGUUGCAGUUAAAAAGCUCGUAGUUGAAUUUCGGGACCAAUCUGCCGGUCGUGCCUCCGGUAUGCACUGGUUUUAUUGAUUUCUCCCUUCUGACGAAUCAUGAUGUCAUUAAUUUGGUGUCAUGGGGAAUCAGGACUGUUACUUUGAAAAAAAUUAGAGUGUUUAAAGCAGGCUCACGCUUGAAUACAUUAGCAUGGAAUAAUGAAAUAGGACGUUUGACCCUAUUUUGUUGGUUUCUAGGAUCGACGUAAUGAUUAAUAGGGAUAGUUGGGGGCAUUAGUAUUCAAUUGUCAGAGGUGAAAUUCUUGGAUUUAUUGAAGACUAACUACUGCGAAAGCAUUUGCCAAGGAUGUUUUCAUUAAUCAAGAACGAAAGUUAGGGGAUCGAAGACGAUCAGAUACCGUCGUAGUCUUAACCAUAAACUAUGCCGACUAGGGAUCGGAUGAUGUUAUUUUUUAAUGACUCAUUCGGCACCUUA
rnacentral:rRNA from 1 species